rnacentral:rRNA from 1 species
AACGAACGCUGGCGGCAUGCUUAACACAUGCAAGUCGAACGGUAAGGCCCUUCGGGGUACACGAGUGGCGAACGGGUGAGUAACACGUGGGUGAUCUGCCCUGCACUUCGGGAUAAGCCUGGGAAACUGGGUCUAAUACCGGAUAGGACCACUGCCUGCAUGGGUGGUGGUGGAAAGCUUUUGCGGUGUGGGAUGGGCCCGCGGCCUAUCAGCUUGUUGGUGGGGUGAUGGCCUACCAAGGCGACGACGGGUAGCCGGCCUGAGAGGGUGACCGGCCACACUGGGACUGAGAUACGGCCCAGACUCCUACGGGAGGCAGCAGUGGGGAAUAUUGCACAAUGGGCGCAAGCCUGAUGCAGCGACGCCGCGUGAGGGAUGACGGCCUUCGGGUUGUAAACCUCUUUCAGCACCGACGAAGCGCAAGUGACGGUAGGUGCAGAAGAAGGACCGGCCAACUACGUGCCAGCCGCCGCCGUAA